rnacentral:rRNA from 1 species
GACGAACGCUGGCGGCGUGCUUAACACAUGCAAGUCGAACGGUGAAGCUCCAGCUUGCUGGAGUGGAUCAGUGGCGAACGGGUGAGUAACACGUGAGCAACCUGCCCCUGACUCUGGAAUAAGCGCUGGAAACGGCGUCUAAUACUGGAUACGAGAAGGGUCCGCAUGGGCACUUUCUGGAAAGUUCUUCGGUUGGGGAUGGGCUCGCGGCCUAUCAGCUUGUUGGUGAGGUAAUGGCUCACCAAGGCGACGACGGGUAGCCGGCCUGAGAGGGCGACCGGCCACACUGGGACUGAGACACGGCCCAGACUCCUACGGGAGGCAGCAGUGGGGAAUAUUGCACAAUGGGCGAAAGCCUGAUGCAGCGACGCCGCGUGAGGGAUGACGGCCUUCGGGUUGUAAACCUCUUUCAGCAGGGAAGAAGCGAAAGUGACAGUACCUGCAGAAGAAGCACCGGCUAACUACGUG